UUUGUAUCCAUUAUAUUCAGUAGCCUGCAUGUGUCCAAAUCACAAAUGAAAUGAUGUGGGCAAAUAUAAAUUAAAAUUGAAUGUUGCAGAAGUGGUUGAGGAACUUCACCAGGAUACAUUAAUGUACAAACUGAAAACUGAUGAAAGGUAAGAGUUUGGUCCUAUGUGGUGUAAAGGAUAGGAGCAGUUUUGUGGACAUUUCUUCAUUCUUCUCUUUCUGCUUUUCCAGACUUCUGAAGAGAGAUUUGCUAGGAAAAAUAAAAAGAUAUAUAAAUUUCAGUGAUGCUGAAGGUUUUGAGAAGCCAUCUGCAGCUCACAACUAGAUGAGUGACACAAUCAGAUGUGCGUAUGCAAAUUUUGAGUCAUAUUAAGCAAUGUUUCCCCAUUUUCAGAAUAUAGAAGAAUUCAUAACUGCUUUUUAAAAAUACAUGUACAGUUCCUUUUUAAAGCCUUGAUUUAAAUAUCUGAUCCAUUGGGAAUUUAUCCUGGAUUAUGGUGUAAGAAAUGGAUCCAAUUUUAUCUUUCUCCAUAUGGCUAUCCAGUUAUCUCAGCAAUGUUUAUUUAACUGUCCAUCUUCUACCCAGCAAUUUGAGAUGCUACCUAUAAAGCAUACUAAAUGGUCACAUGUGAUUGUAUCUUGUUUCUGAACUUUCUACCUUUUCAUUAGUUUGUCUGCCUAUUCAUGUGCUAAUAUCAAACUGUUUAAAUAAUAAAGUUUUUAAUAGUACUUUCUAAAGAAAUCUGAUAUAGUUUUUCCUUCCAGCUGUUG
rnacentral:lncRNA from 1 species